rnacentral:rRNA from 1 species
CUCGGCAACCAUAGCGGAAGGGUCACACCCGUUCCCAUCCCGAACACGGUCGUUAAGCCUUCCUGCGCCGAUGGUACUGUCCCUGAGAGGGGGCGGGAGAGUAGGUGUUGCCGGGC